UCUGAUAAACCCUAACUAUAUUGAUUCUCUUCUUAUAAACCGUAACUAUAUUGAUUCUUUCUUCAAUUACUACUACUACAAGGGUGGGUUUCGAUGUCGUUCUUCAAGAUUCUUCCUGUGGAGAUAACAUUCGACAUAUUAAGUCGACUACCAAAUCAAUCACAACUUAAUUGCAAGUUAGUAUGCGCCACUUGGAAUAAUGUUCUUCGUCAUCCAUCAUUCUCUCGGUCUCCUUCUGAUUUUUCUGCUGUUGAUUCUGAUUACGGUAAGUUGGGUUUUCUUGCUUUGACAUUUUGGAAUGAAUUUUUGUGGUAUUUUGAAUAUAAUGAGAAUCAUCAUCUGUCGAGUACACCACCCAUCCAGAGACUUACAAGAAUUAAUUUUACACCUCCGAUUACGCAUUCUGAAUUUCUUGGGUCGAUUAAUGGGUUGAUCUGUCUUGCUAGAUACUCACAAUCAGAAACAGCACCUCUUUGUAUUUGUAACCCCUAUACCAAACAACAUGUAUUGCUUCCUGAAAUUAAGAGAGAUUGGGGUACUGAUUAUGAUCAGAAUAUCUAUUGGACUAGCGGAUUUGGUUACGUUUCUUCGACAAACGAAUACAAAGUUGUAAGAAUGAUGUUGAACACUGGGUUUUAUAAUGUCUAUGUAUACACAGUAGGCAGUGGCAAGGGAUGGAGAAACAUUGGAAACUUCAAUAUAGGAUCUAGCGUAUAUUUGUAUCCACAACCUGGUGUCUUUGCCAAUGGAGCUCUUGAUUGGCUGGACAUGGAAUUGCAUAUGAUUGUUAUGUUUGAUUUGGUGGAGGAAAAGUUUUCUGAACAUCUUUCACCACCUCAUUUGCCAGCACCACACUCUAAUUCGGAUAAUAACAGAAUAGGGGUCGUAGAUGGGUUUUUGUUUUAUGCUAUGUAUCUAGUUGUUGAAGAAUCCAGAUAUCGUGACAUUUGGCUAUUAAAAAACAAGAAUGACAAUCAUGACAUGAAAGAGCCGGCGGAAUUAAAAUCAUUGAUUUGGAGUAAAGAAUUCAGGAUUGACGAAAGCGAGUUAUUAGCCAUUACGAAGAGUGGCGGUGCUUUAACUUACAUUUAUAAUUAUCUCAAUAUCUGCGACACAAAAGCUUCAACCUCGAAAAGGCUUGUGGUAUAUGAAGAAAGUUUUAGUAAAGUUUUCCCUCACAAAAACACCAUGAUUUCGUUGAAAGAAUUAGGGGAAGAAGAUACGAAGAGAGUGGAGUCAGUUGAAGAAGUUAUGGAGACAGAAUGCCAUGAUCAGACUUUCAACCAGCUGCAGGAGGGUUAGAUGCUGGAUACCUACAUAUGAAUUGACUUCUUAGGCUGGAUGCUUGCUGUGUUGAAGAUGUUGACUGGGAUAAUCUUCUUGAGCAUAGGUCUGGAGACAUUACUCUGAAGCGUUGGAGACAGUUGGUAAAUCACAUUGGUAAUUGUGGAAUCCAAUCCUUUGCAGAACAGUUAAUAGUGCUUGCCAAACGCUAUUGGCCUGAGCUACUUGAAGUCAGAAAAGCUCUUGACAGCAUACAUGUGGUUGAUUGAGGUACGGAUGUGGGAGCUGCAGGCUCAACAGAGAAUAUGACAGGAGGAAGGUCCAGCCUAAAACAAAAAGACUACUCUACAGACUGAAUUGGUACUUAAAAAUAUUUAUUUAAUUUUCUUAAUUCAGAGUUCUGAAGUAGUAUGUACUUAGUGAGGCAAUUAAAUGUUACAAUUGUGGUCCGACACUGAAAAACUGUCAAUAAAUUCAUCAACACUUGUACUUCAGGCACCCUGCUCCUGUGAAUAAACUGUAAGAGGGGCAUUCU